AACAAACGCUGGCGGCGUGCCUAAUACAUGCAAGUCGAACGAGGUAGCAAUACCUAGUGGCGCACGGGAGAGUAAUACAUGGAUAAUCUGCCUUAGAGUGGGGGAUAACUUUCCGAAAGGAGAGCUAACACCGCAUAAGACCACAAGCUCUGCGGAGCAAGGGGUUAAAGGUUUUUCGCUCUAAGAUGAGUCCAUGCUCGAUUAGUUAGUUGGUAGGGUAAUGGCCUACCAAGGCUUCGAUCGAUAGCUGAUCUGAGAGGAUGAUCAGCCUCACUGGAACUGAGACACGGUCCAGACUCCUACGGGAGGCAGCAGUAGGGAAUAGUGCACAAUGGAGGAAACUCUGAUGCAGCGACGCCGCGUGAGCGAUGAAGGCCUUCGGGUUGUAAAGCUCUGUUGUACGGGAAGAACACAAUGACGGUACCGUAUAAGAAAGGACCGGCUAACUUCGUGCCAGCCGCCGCAGUAAGAC
rnacentral:rRNA from 1 species